rnacentral:lncRNA from 1 species
AGCACAGCACACACGUAGGGGUACGUCACCCUGUCACACGCCACGGCCCAAGGGUAGUGCUGACGGAGACAGCAGGCGCAGCCACUCGGACACCGCAGGGCGAGUGGUCAGGAGGCAGGCGUGGCUCAGCCUUGUGCCGAGGCCACCCCUCUGACUCAACGUCCUGUGGCUGCAGCCCCACCAGGACGCCCCCUGUGCAGGGCCAGCCCACUUGCCGUGACCUUCUCUGAUGGGGCUGCUGAUGGCCCCACUGUGUGGGGUUGACAGGAGUCUUUUAGGGACUCGGGAGUUGCUGUGCCCCCCAUGAGGGGUGUGGGCCCUGUUGAUGGAGCGGAGCAGGUGUGUGGACACUUGUCCUGUGGCACCUGGCACCCAGGGCCUGCACUUGGGUGGGGCCAAGCAGGACCCCCACUCUGCUCUGCAAGCCUGGGCCUUGGCCAUCAGAGGUGCUGGAAGCCCAUCCCAGGUGGAGUUAGAAACAUCAGCCCCCAGUCAGUGCUGCCCCCCAGCAGCCUGUCCCUCCGUCCUUGGGGAGGGCUCCACCUCGUACACCUCAUUCAUGUGGGGUGCCAGGGUGUCCAGGCAUGGUGGGGGUGCCGAGAUG